GUUCUUAUAGUUGAAUAACAACGGUGGUUUUUCAAGUCAUUGGUUCUGGUUAGAAUCCAGGUGGGAAUU
rnacentral:tRNA from 1 species